CUCGUAGGCGGCCAACUAAGUCAGACGUGAAAUCCCUCGGCUUAACCGGGGAACUGCGUCUGAUACUGGAUGGCUAGAGGUUGGGAGAGGGAUGCGGAAUUCCAGGUGUAGCGGUGAAAUGCGUAGAUAUCUGGAGGAACACCGGUGGCGAAGGCGGCAUCCUGGACCAAUUCUGACGCUGAGGAGCGAAAGCCAGGGAGCAAACG
rnacentral:rRNA from 1 species